ACGCUGGCGGCGUGCCUAACACAUGCAAGUCGAGCGAGAAUCUUUUAAAUGAUCCCUCGGGGUGAAUUUAGAAGAGGAAAGCGGCGGACGGGUGAGUAACGCGUGAGUAACCUGCCUUCAGGAAGGGGGGACAACAUUCCGAAAGGGAUGCUAAUACCGCAUGAUAGAAUCAUCAAAGAUUUAUCGCUUAUGGAUGGACUCGCGUCUGAUUAGAUAGUUGGCGGGGUAACGGCCCACCAAGUCGACGAUCAGUAGCCGAACUGAGAGGUUGAUCGGCCACAUUGGGACUGAGACACGGCCCAGACUCCUACGGGAGGCAGCAGUGGGGAAUAUUGCGCAAUGGGGGCAACCCUGACGCAGCAACGCCGCGUGAAGGAUGAAGGUCUUCGGAUUGUAAACUUUUGUCUUUAGGGACGAAAAAGGACGGUACCUAAGGAGGAAGCCACGGCUAACUACGUG
rnacentral:rRNA from 1 species